rnacentral:rRNA from 1 species
GACGAACGCUGGCGGCGUGCCUAAUACAUGCAAGUUGAGCGCUGAAGGUUGGUACUUGUACCGACUGGAUGAGCAGCGAACGGGUGAGUAACGCGUGGGGAAUCUGCCUUUGAGCGGGGGACAACAUUUGGAAACGAAUGCUAAUACCGCAUAAAAACUUUAAACACAAGUUUUAAGUUUGAAAGAUGCAAUUGCAUCACUCAAAGAUGAUCCCGCGUUGUAUUAGCUAGUUGGUGAGGUAAAGGCUCACCAAGGCGAUGAUACAUAGCCGACCUGAGAGGGUGAUCGGCCACAUUGGGACUGAGACACGGCCCAAACUCCUACGGGAGGCAGCAGUAGGGAAUCUUCGGCAAUGGACGAAAGUCUGACCGAGCAACGCCGCGGGAGUGAAGAAGGUUUUCGGAUCGUAAAACUCUGUUGGUAGAGAAGAACGUUGGUGAGAGUGGAAAGCUCAUCAAGUGACGGUAACUACCCAGAAAGGGACGGCUAAAUACGUG